UACGUAGGGGGCUAACGUUGUCCGGAUUUAUUGGGCGUAAAGAGCGUGUAGGCGGCCAGGUAGGUCUGCUGUGAAAACUCGAGGCUUAACCUCGAGAUGUCGGCGGAAACCAUCUGGCUAGAGUCCGGAAGAGGAGAGUGGAAUUCCUGGUGUAGCGGUGAAAUGCGCAGAUAUCAGGAAGAACACCCGUGGCGAAGGCGGCUCUCUGGGACGGUACUGACGCUGAGACGCGAAAGCGUGGGGAGCGAACAGG
rnacentral:rRNA from 1 species